rnacentral:lncRNA from 1 species
UGAUCUUCUACGAAAACAUUCUAAAAAGGUGCAAGUUACUUCAGAGGAAUGGUUCUAGGAAGGGAUUAGAUACUCUUUCGUUCAGUGGCUCAGAGCAUCUGUUUGUUUUCUGGUCUGCUUUGGGCCUGCUUAUGUAGUUUAGGUUAAUCAGAAUGAGAAUAAUAUAUAUUUACUAGACCUUGGGACAGAAACUGAACCUUAAUUUGCUGUUUUCAGUAAGUGGCUUCAGCAUGGUGCCACCCCAGAGGAACCUUCAAUUUGACAACCAGGUUGUGAGAAGAGGACUGUGAUUGUGUCUCUGUGCUCUCUGACAAGCAUUGAGGAAAGCAAAAUGAUUAAAUAUGGGGAAUUGAAGAUUUAUGCCAAUGCUGGGAAUUUGCUGCUAUUAUAUCCACUGCUGAAAUAUCAUUUGAGGCUCUCAGAAAAGGAUUGAGUAUUGUGUCACACUCUUUUGUCUCUCAAGAUGAAGGUCUGGGCUCUUGCAGAGAAAGUUUUUCUCCUCAAUGAG